rnacentral:rRNA from 1 species
UACGAAGGGGGCGAGCGUUGUUCGGAAUUACUGGGCGUAAAGGGCGCGUAGGCGGCGAUCCGAGUCAGAUGUGAAAGUCCUGGGCUUAACCUGGGGACUGCAUUUGAUACUGGAUUGCUUGAAUGCAGGAGAGGAUAGCGGAAUUCCCAGUGUAGAGGUGAAAUUCGUAGAUAUUGGGAAGAACACCAGUGGCGAAGGCGGGCAUCUGGGCCAACACUGACGCUGAGGCGCGAAAGCUAGGGGAGCAAACAGG